UACGUAGGUCCCGAGCGUUGUCCGGAUUUAUUGGGCGUAAAGCGAGCGCAGGUGGUUUAUUAAGUCUGGUGUAAAAGGCAGUGGCUCAACCAUUGUAUGCAUUGGAAACUGGUAGACUUGAGUGCAGGAGAGGAGAGUGGAAUUCCAUGUGUAGCGGUGAAAUGCGUAGAUAUUAGGAGGAACACCAGUGGCGAAGGCGGUCUGCUGGACAGUAACUGACGGUGAGGCGCGAAAGCGUGGGGAGCAAACAGG
rnacentral:rRNA from 1 species